rnacentral:rRNA from 1 species
GUAGUCUCGCACAGAUGCAUAUCAAUAAGCGGAGGAAAAGAAACUAACAAGGAUUCCCCUAGUAACGGCGAGUGAAGCGGGAAGAGCUCAAAUUUGAAAUCUUAAAGGGUUUCCCUUUACGAAUUGUAGUUUAAAGAAGUGUUUUCUGUUGAGGUUUUGGUAAAAGUUCUUUGGAAUAGGACAUCAUAGAGGGUGAGAAUCCCGUAUUUGACCUUUUACUUUCAACUUUGUGAUACACUUUCAAAGAGUCGGAUUGUUUGGGAAUGCAGUCCAAAAUGGGUGGUAAAUUUCAUCUAAAGCUAAAUAUUGGCGAGAGACCGAUAGCGAACAAGUACCGUGAGGGAAAGAUGAAAAGAACUUUGAAAAGAGAGUUAAACAGUACGUGAAAUUGUCAAAAGGGAAGCGUUUGACACCAGUGUUGUGUUUCUGAAAAUCAAUUAAAGAACUGUUUAUGCUAAGUUGUUUAGACUUUAUCAGCUAACUGUUUAGUUUUGAGCUUUUCUUUAAUGCACUUUUCAGUUAACAAGUCAACAUCAAUUUCUUUUGCUGUAAAAAAGCUUGAGGAAGGUGGCUUGAGAUUCGUCUUAAGUGUUUAUAGCCUCUUGCCUAUGCAGUCGGAGAGAUUGAGGUCUGCAGCGUAGAUCCUUCGGGGCUAAAUGCAUUUGUGCUAAGUUAUAACAUUUUAUAGACAACUUGUUGACUAUGAUUUGUCUUGUAGCUUACUCACUUAUGUUAUUUUACCUACGCUUAGGAUGUUGAUCUGUAGUGCGUGCG